rnacentral:lncRNA from 1 species
AAAGAGCAUAACUAUUUAAACUUCUAAAAACCCAAAACCUUAUUCGGUCUUUUUUUUUAUAGAAAAAACCAAAACCGUGCCCUAGCUUCUCUCCUCUCUCUUCUCUCCAAAUCUUAACCCAAGCUUCUCUCUAAAUCAGCAAAUUGAGCACUGAGAAGGAAAAAGCAGAGCCAUCUUGUUCAAAUUGGAACCGCUUCUCUCCAAAUCAAACUAGGUAAACCCUUUCUUCUCUCCAAAUCGAAACCCUUUCUUUUUCUCUUGAACAUUGACUGUAUGCUUACUAAUGUAAUAUGAAACUUUUGGGUAAAUUGAGAAAAUGGGUAUGUAGAAAUAGAGAGAAUGGUGAAAGAAAUAUUGUAUAGAGAGAUUUAUUGGGUUUCUUUCUCUCACUGAGCUAAUAGCAGCUAUGGUAUUAGUAGCAGUAGCUUUUUCAUUGAAUGUAUGCUUACCAAUGUUCAAAGAAACGAAAAUAUGAGUUAUUGAAAAACUUUGUUCUUGAAUUCUGAGAAUGGGAUUUGAGUAAUUGAAAAAUAUGAGUAAAUGAAAAUAUUAAUUAAGCUACACAACUUUGUUCUUGAAUUCUGACAAUGGGAUUUGAACAUUUUUGUGAUUCCCUUUAGUUUCCUUUUUGUGGAGACAUGCUUAGUAAAAAUUAUUUGUUCCAGUUUGUGUUUCUAACUUGUAAGAAAUGUAGGCGGAGAAAUUAUAGAAGUCCAAUGAGUUAUGGAAUAAGAAGCAAGGAUUCGGGUUUCACACAAAUCCUAAAAAAUGGGAAUUUCGAAAAUUCGUAUAACUUUAUAUUCAUAAAUACAUCAAAACUUCAGAAUUAAUAAAUAUUAAUUAAUAAUGAUACAAAUGUAAUAAAUCCAGAAGAAUCUAGAUUCCGGGAUUCGUCGACCUACAGAAGAAUCCUUGCUUAUAAGGUUGUGGGUAGUUAUGUAUUUAUAUUUGAGUUGAAGGGUGUAUUUUUCCUAUAACUUGUCAGUAUGUGUGUGUUAGAUCAAUUUAGGAUAUCAUAUUUCUGUUCAAGAUACAUCAACUUUCAUUAUCAUUAUUAAUUGUGCUAAUGUGGACAAAUUGGAUUUUGGGAAAAUAUUGGUUGUUCAAAUUUUGUUGGUAAUAGGCAACCAUGGUUGAUUAUCGAGUUCUAUGACAAUUACUCUUCAUUUUUAAUGAAAAUUUAUUAAUAAAUAAUUAUCUUUCUUGUGCAAAAAUGAAAUUGCGGCGGCGUCUGCAUUAUUAAUUUAUAUGAUAUUUAUGUCACUUUCUUAGUGUUGGCAAUAUAGUUAGUUGCACCAUAAAAAACCAAAUCUAUUUCAGCCGCUGUUUUUUCUUAUAAAAAUACUAAUGUUUUCUACUCUCUGUUUUUUUUCCAACAUGCAACUCACUCUCUAACAUCUUGUUAAACCGUCAAUUACUUCAAAAGCUAGCUUGAAACUCGCAAUAUUUAUCAAGGUCUGAACACCCCUACUUUGUGUGCAGUCUCCACGUGCACGUGUUCGAGCUACAAAUUGAAGGUAAGAGUUGUAUUUAGACAUUUCAAAGCUUAAAUUUUUCCAUUUAAGCAUUUUUCCAUUUUUUUUGAACUAGUUUGAUUCUCAUCUACCCUUGGUAUCUAUGUAUCUUAUGUUAAAUUCUUGAGUUUUUCUCAUUUUUGUUAUUAAAAUUGAUUUGAUUUAAUAGUUAUGAUUUUAGUCAUAUUAAAACUUAAUUGAUUCAUAUAUUUUGAUAUCUAUUCCUGCAGUAUAUAGAGAAUGUAACACUAUGUUUGGUACACCAUAAAGUAAAAAGUGAAGAAUGAUGAAAUUGAAGAAUGAAAGAGUGAAGACAAAAGUGGUGUACUCGGUUUUUCAUUUUUCUUUCAUGUUGUGGUUUUUGUUGUUUGUAAUGUAGUUGUAGUUGUGUUGUAAUGAAAUUGUUUAAUGUAAUGAAGUUACAAGUUGUAGUUGCUUUGUAAUGAAACUAUUGUAAUGAAAGUUGUUAUCGAAUGUAACUUACGUUGGAUUACAAUGACUGUGCUUUAUACAAUGCUGUAAAGCGAGCAAUACCUUUACAUUGAACAUUUUGACAAUGUAUACUGGUAUUAUAUGUAUACUGGUCACAAUACCAGGUUAUCUUUAUGGGGAGCCUCUUUGGUUAUGUAGUUCAUAAAAGGUGCAGUAUAUAUAUGUCCUAUGCUCCUUUCAGACAUACCAAUAUACUGAAUAUUAGAAGCCAUGCUCCUUUCACAUAUGCCAAGGAAAAUUUCAUUA